CAGCCGCCGCGGUAAUACAGAGGGUGCAAGCGUUAAUCGGAUUUACUGGGCGUAAAGGGCGCGUAGGUGGUUAUUUAAGUGAGAUGUGAAAGCCCCGGGCUUAACCUGGGAACUGCAUCUUAUACUGGGUAACUGGAGUGCAGUAGAGGGUAGUGGAAUUUCCGGUGUAGCGGUGAAAUGCGUAGAUAUCGGGAGGAACAUCAGUGGCGAAGGCGGCCAUCUGGGACAACACUGACGCUGAGGCACGAAAGCGUGGGGAGCAAACAGGAUUAGAUACCCGUGUAGUCCCUGUCUCUUAUAC
rnacentral:rRNA from 1 species